rnacentral:rRNA from 1 species
UGGGGGAUAUUGCACAAUGGGCGAAAGCCUGAUGCAGCGACGCCGCGUGGGGGAUGAAGGCUUUCGGGUUGUAAACCUCUUUCGCUAUCGAACAAGGCCUGCGUAGGGUGGGCUGAGGGUAGGUGGAGAAGAAGCGCCGGCUAACCACGUUCCAGCAGCCGCGGUAAUACGUAGGGCGCGAGCGUUGUCCGGAAUUAUUGGGCGUAAAGGGCUUGUAGGCGGCUUGUUGCGCCUGCUGUGAAAACGCGGGGCUUAACUUCGGGAGUGCAGUUGGGACGGGAAGGCUUGAGUGUGGUAGGGGUGGCUGGAAUUCCAGGUGUAGCAGUGGAAUGCGCAGAUAUCUGGAGGAACACCGAUGGCGAAGGCAGGUCACUGGGCCAGUACUGACGCUGAUGAGCGAAAGCAUGGGUAGCGAACAGG